UCGAUUUUUCUCACCUCCUAAGAUCACGACCGCAAUAAGAAUGAACAUCUAGGUUAUGAAAGCAGCUCGGAUAGAUCUCGAGUUCCUUGUUGUAUCUCUGAUAGGUGUUUUUAUCUCGAGGUUAAAAAAAUACAUCAGUUUCAAGGUACUUUCCCACAAUUCACACUCCUCAGCUCAAUUUUUCACUGGCAAAACACAUGGUAAACACUCGGUUGGAAAAUUCACAGUGAAACAUAAGAUUUACUCUUUCUCAGUACACUCUUACAUACAGAAGACUCCAGUUUAUGUAAGCCUCAAUUGACAGUUGGCAAAUCACGACGCUGUAAAGCCAUGACAUACGUUUUCGCAGCCUUGUAAGAAAAUAGUAUGCAUCCGUUAUAAAACAUUUCAAUUUGAGAAAAAUCGAAGAUGGUUUCCGUGGUGAAUUCAUUUUUUAGCAGUGUACUUAAAAGAAAAAACAGUCAGUCUCCUUUGAAGGGAAAGUUAAAGCGUGUGGGUAUGGAGGGGGGCCGGGACGUGAUGCCACUGCUGGAAGAGCGGGUAGCAGUGGUGACCGGAGGAAGAGACCGGAGAGGCGGCCCACUCCUUACCUUCCCCACGUCCGCCCGGAGGGACCGGCUCAAGCCCGACGACUACCGGAGGCUCAUCCACUACCUCAUCAACAUACCUCCACUGAGAAACCAGUUGUCCAAUGAAAAGUGACAAUCAACUCGAAUCACGUGAAAGAUUGGCUUUCUAACGGGAUUCGGCAAUUUUCGAUUUGUCUUUUAAUAAUCCCGGAGGCGGCCGACAAAUUUCACUGACGAUGUCGUUACAGUCGAACGUAAGAUACUGUUAUAAUAAAAAUCACGAAUAUGUUUAUGUUUCCCCGAUUGUACGCGUUUUUGUUUUAGUAUGUCAUGCUCAGUUGUUGUUGAU